GAUGAAGAACGUAGCGAAAUGCGAUAAGUAGUGUGAAUUGCAGAAUUCAGUGAAUCAUCGAAUCUUUGAACGCACAUUGCUCCCUUUGGUAUUCCUUAGGGCAUGCCUGUUCGAGCGUCAUUUAAACCUUCAAGCUCAGCUUGGUGAUGGGCGACUGUCCUCCCCUCGCGGGGGGACUCGCCUCAAAAACAUUGGCGGCCGGUACAUUGGCUUCGAGCGCAGCAGAAACGCGGUCUCGAGCCCGGUGGAUCGGCUCCCAUAAGCCUAUUCUUUUAUUUUGACCUCGGAUCAGGUAGGGAUACCCGCUGAACUUAAGCAUAUCAAUAAGCGGAGGA
rnacentral:misc_RNA from 1 species